AGCUUUGCACAGUGGCAGUAUCAUAGCCAAUGAGGUUUAUCCGAGUGCGAUUAUUGCUAAUUGAAAAUUUUUCCUAACACCCCACCAUGAUGACUUCUAAUAUAGUCGGCAUUGGCAAUUUUUGACAGUCUCUACAGAGG
ensembl:snRNA U4 U4 spliceosomal RNA